rnacentral:rRNA from 1 species
AGUGGCAGACGGGUGAGUAACGCGUGGGAACCUUCCCAGUGGUACGGAAUAGCUCAGGGAAACUUGAGGUAAUACCGUAUAAGCCCUUAGGGGGAAAGAUUUAUCGCCAUUGGAUGGGCCCGCGUCGGAUUAGCUAGUUGGUGGGGUAAUGGCUCACCAAGGCGACGAUCCGUAGCUGGUCUGAGAGGAUGAUCAGCCACACUGGGACUGAGACACGGCCCAGACUCCUACGGGAGGCAGCAGUGGGGAAUAUUGGACAAUGGGCGCAAGCCUGAUCCAGCCAUGCCGCGUGAGUGACGAAGGCCUUAGGGUUGUAAAGCUCUUUUGGCGGGGAAGAUAAUGACGGUACCCGCAGAAUAAGCUCCGGCUAACUUCGUGCCAGCAGCCGCGGUAAUACGAAGGGAGCUAGCGUUGUUCGGAAUCACUGGGCGUAAAGCGCACGUAGGCGGAUGUGUCAGUCAGGGGUGAAAUCCCGGAGCUCAACUUCGGAACUGCCUUUGA